AAUGGCUACGAUCACCUUCUAAAGAAUACAAUUUUCACGACAGUUUAGAAGAAGUCCAGAACAUCGAGCAAGUUGAUGAAGAGUAUCGAGACUCACCUUUGAAAAUUAAUUAGCCAAUUUCAUUCACGAUGCACCAUCUGUGUGAGAAUUGAUAAGAAAAUAGAACCAGAUA